GACGAACGCUGGCGGCGUGCUUAACACAUGCAAGUCGAACGGGUCUGCCCUGUUUUUUGCGGGGUGGGUCAGUGGCGAACGGGUGAGUAACACGUGAGUAACCUGCCCCUCACUUCUGGAUAACCGCUUGAAAGGGUGGCUAAUACGGGGUGUUCUGGCUGUGCCGCAUGGUGUGGCUGGGAAAGAUUCACUUUUGUGGUGUUUUGGUGGGGGAUGGGCUCGCGGCCUAUCAGCUUGUUGGUGGGGUGAUGGCCUGCCAAGGCUUUGACGGGUAGCCGGCCUGAGAGGGUGGGCGGUCACACUGGGACUGAGAUACGGCCCAGACUCCUGCGGGAGGCAGCAGUGGGGGGUAGUGCACAAUGGGCAGAAGCCUGAUGCAGCGACGUCGCGUGAGGGAUGGAGGCCUGCGGGUUGUGAACCUCUUUCGCCGGUGAAGAAGGUCCUGCUCUUUGUGGUGGGGUUGACGGUAGCCGGGUUAUGAAGCGCCGGCUAACUACGUG
rnacentral:rRNA from 1 species